UACGAAGGGGGCGAGCGUUGUUCGGAUUUACUGGGCGUAAAGGGCGCGUAGGCGGGGAGGUAAGUCGGGUGUGAAAUCCCUCGGCCCAACCGAGGAACUGCGCCCGAGACUGCUUCUCUUGAGUCCCGGAGAGGAAGGUGGAAUUCCCGGUGUAGCGGUGAAAUGUGUAGAGAUCGGGAGGAACACCGGUGGCGAAGGCGGCCUUCUGGACGGUGACUGACGCUGAGGCGCGAAAGCGUGGGGAGCAAACGGG
rnacentral:rRNA from 1 species